ACGUGUAAAAAUAUCCAUGUUUUGGAAUUGAUGAUUCUAUAACUGCGAUAAAGGCGCAUAAACGGCGCAUAUUGCCCACGCACUGCUUAACAAUGAUAAUUCUUUUAUUUAAAUAUCUCGUAACUGUGUUGACACGGAGAAGGAACAUCAACACCGUUGUUCCCGCGCAACCGGGACUAAAUCGCGCGCAACUUAAACCUCGAACGUCUCUUUCCUGUUACAGAAGCUCGCGGAAAAAGCUGCAGCGUUUUGGCGAAUUGCAAGUGAAGAAUUAACAGAAACACGGUGUUUUAUUAGUAAAAAUCGAUCUAGUCGUUUUCCUUCUUAAUUCACAGAACUCAAACAUAGUUCAUUUAUGAUUUAUUCACGUGGUUUGCAUGUGACAAUCGACUUUUCUUUACUGAAUUGUGUUGUGUUGUUUUAAGCACUUUGGAAACCGUACAGCUAAUAAACGAGAUGUUCAAACUACUGUGCAAUGAAUUCUGUUUUCUAGGUAUUUCCAGGUAGCGGAACUUUGGGUGAUGCCACUGAGUAAUUCCGGUUUAAGGCAGAGCACAGAACAAAUAUAUUUUCCAAGGAAGACCUGUCUCACAACUCUGAUAAAGCAGAAGGGUAGGAAAAGCAAACUACAAGAGGUUUAAAAAUGCAAAUCAACAUAAACCAAAUACCAGAGGGUGAAAGCCAGAGUCUGAGCACUAUCAGCGAUUGGAGGCAUGUGCAGACAGAACAGCAGGCAUCAUCUGGGGUCAGUGCCCAGAAAAACAGGACCUCCUUGAUAACCUGGCCGGUCCCACCAUCCUGCUGCAGGCAGACGCUAUGAAACCUGUCACAAUGCGGCUGUGGAUCAGUGAAGGAUCUAAGCUACAGGGCUCUCAAACUGGAAGAGAUUUAACAAAAAAAACACAAAGAGUGAUCUCACAGUGUUUGGAAAAGCCUUUCACUAAUGCACAUCGCCAAGCUGACAAUAAAGUGAUCCAUUGAUGUGAUUGCAAAAGUCAUUUUACAGAUGCUUUACACAGGUCUUGUAGGUCAGAUUUGACUUAGCUUUAGGUAAAUAGGAGCAGCCCUGGUAAACCAAGAGCUGCUGCUGGUUCCUUCAACUCAACAUGUUAAAGGUUGGGUUCAGGUUAGAGGUUAAAGGUUAGGGCGUGUGUCAAAGUCCAGACUUGCAGUCAAAUACACGCUUGUCAAAAUAUUCAUCAAAACAUGAUUUAUUAUAUAUUUACUAAUAUAUAUUUGUUGCCCAAAUCACAGUCUUAGAAAAUGAUGGGAGAUGCGCUGAAUAUUACACUUGUACUUGCUGUGUGAUCAGUUAUUCACGACUGGCUUCUCAUUAGUCAUGAAGUCUAUCCAGCUGUUCCUUACUGCUGAUGCAGCUGGAAAGACUUUUUCUCAGGGGCCUCAAAUGGCCUCUGCAGAUUUGUUCAGACAAUCUGCUGACAGACGUCCUGCCCCCUCCCUAGAUUCCUGCAGAGACCAUAUUAUGGAAACGUUAAACACAUGUGUCAUGUUUAAACAACAGGCAGGACAAACUGAUCAGGAGGGGCUGGUUCUGUUCUGGGGGUGGAGCUGGACCCCCUACAUGCUGUAGCUGAGAGAGGAUGCUGGUCCAACUCCUCUCUAUCCUAGACAACACCUCCACCCCCUACACAGUGAGUGGCUGGACAGAGGAGCACCUUCAGCCAGAGGCUGAUCAGUAUUAGGUGCUCCACAGAACGCCAUCGGAGAUCCUUCCUACCGGAGCCAUCAGCCUGUACAACUGCUCCUCUGUCUUUAAAGGUUGAUCUUCAUCCGGGCAAUAACAUGUACAGUAUAAUACAACUUUAGCUAGUAAUUAGAUGUGAGUGUGUGUAGAUGUGUUAGCAUCCUUUUUUUAAUCUUGUGUGUACUGUACCUCCAACUGUGACAGCGAUCAAAGUUUUUUGAAUCUUGAAUCUUGAUCUUUGUAAAGACAGCACCCACUGACUGACUUGCAGUUCUGUGAAUGUGCUAAUUUUUUCUUAAUGAACCGUGUCUGUCUGUAGCAAAUGCAUCACAAGUGUAUGAAUCCAAGGCUGUUUCCAAAAUCAAGUAUAAAGUAUGACUGAAAAAUAUUACAGUCUUUGUUAAUAUGAGGUUAUACUGAACAUACAAACAACUGCAGAUGCAGGUCGGUCUCGUGAGUGUCGUUUUUUUCUGUCUCACUGUGUUAAAUACCCACUUACACUCUCUUAUUGGCUUUGCUGUAAGCGAUGCAGGACUUCUGAUUGGUUAGUAGCUUGAGGUAAAUCACUUGACUGGCCAAUAGACUAUGGUCCAGUGGUUGUUCAGUUGAAACCGAAACCCAUGGGAAACAUAUAAAAAAGUCCUCUAGUUUGUGAGCGCUCAGCAGAUGCACAAGUGAGUCUGUGAUUUCACUCGUAAUUACCAGGAGAUCUCUAACCCUACGGGAACCGUAAUAAUGCUAAAACUCUGGAUGCAUCUUCUUGCCUGUGCACUGAUGAUUUGCCAAAUCUCACAGGCAGCUCCAUCCAGAAACAGCAAUGAGUCCAUGACAGAUGGAGUGACGCGACCAGAAGAUCCAACUC